AGGACUUUUACAAUUUCAAGUCUUAUGUUGAAGUCUUCAAUUCAUUUGGAGUACGUUUUUGUGAGUGGUGUAAGGAUGUUGCACCUGGAAGAAGAAUGGGGGCCGGAAGGGAGAGUUCUUUUCUUUCUCAGCCACAUAAGUAUCCAUCCCCGUAUCUCUUGCGUCGAGCACAGACCUAACAGUACAAGGAUUCUACACCUCGAUUCUGGCAGAUGUCAACACCACUAGACAUUCUCUUGGCAAGGUCAAGAUUCAGCAGUACUGGCAAAUGGCAACACAGGGAGACCAAGAGACUGUAGAAGGUCGGGCAGUGGAACCCCACGUCUGCUACACUACAAGGUUGUGAGAGUUUAUAUUCCAUGACACCAAAAGAUGGCAAACUCGGGACGCUAGAGACAUUCCUACUUCAAGGCUUCAGGAGAUCCUGGUGCCAGAACAUGGGAUUUCUUCUGGAAUCCAGUCCACUCUUUACCUGUUUACUCGGCACAAUUUUCAAGAGAAUCCUUUGGGUCAAAGGACCAUCUGUGCAUUUGAAGUUCCUCCAGAUUCAAAUCCA